rnacentral:rRNA from 1 species
UACGUAGGGGGCUAGCGUUGUCCGGAAUCAUUGGGCGUAAAGAGCGUGUAGGCGGUCCGGUAAGUCCGCUGUGAAAGUCGGGGGCUCAACCCUCGAAUGCCGGUGGAUACUGUCGGGCUAGAGUGCGGAAGAGGCGAGUGGAAUUCCUGGUGUAGCGGUGAAAUGCGCAGAUAUCAGGAGGAACACCUAUUGCGAAGGCAGCUCGCUGGGACGGUACUGACGCUGAGAGACGAAAGCUAGGGGAGCGAAUGGG